GAUGAGAACGUAGCGAAAUGCGAUAAGUAAUGCGAAUUGCAGAAUUUCCGUGAGUCAUCGAAUCUUUGAACGCACAUUGCGCCCACUGGUAUUCCGGUGGGCAUGCCUGUUCGAGCGUCAUUAUCCUCCCUCAAACCUCGGGUUUGGUGUUGGACCCAAGUUGUGUGAACAACUGGUCUUAAAGACAAUGACGGCGUCCGUGGGACCCUCGGUGCAACGAGCUUUUAGGAGCACGCGUCGAGUUUCAAGGACCUUCCGGGCCGGUCUCCUUUACCAUUUUACAAGGUUGACCUCGGAUCAGGUAGGAAUACCCGCUGAACUUAAGCAUAUCAAUAAGCGGAGGA
rnacentral:misc_RNA from 1 species